UAGGGAAUAUUGCUCAAUGGGCGAAAGCCUGAAGCAGCAACGCCGCGUGGAGGAUGACACUUUUCGGAGCGUAAACUCCUUUUGUUGGGGAAGAAACUUGACGGUACCUCUUGAAUAAGCCACGGCUAACUACGUGCCAGCAGCCGCGGUAAUACGUAGGUGGCAAGCGUUGUCCGGAUUUACUGGGUGUAAAGGGCGUGCAGCCGGGCCGGCAAGUCAGGUGUGAAAUCCCCAGGCUCGACCUGGGAACUGCAUUUGAAACUGUUGGUCUUGAGUAUCGGAGAGGUAAUCGGAAUUCCUUGUGUAGCGGUGAAAUGCGUAGAUAUAAGGAAGAACACCAGUGGCGAAGGCGGAUUACUGGACGACAACUGACGGUGAGGCGCGAAAGCGUGGGAGCAAACAGGAUUAGAUACCCUGGUAGU
rnacentral:rRNA from 1 species